GUGCCAGCCGCCGCGGUAAUACGAAGGGGGCUAGCGUUACUCGGAAUUACUGGGCGUAAAGGGCGCGUAGGCGGCUUGGUCAGUCAGGCGUGAAAUUCCUGGGCUUAACCUGGGGACUGCGCUUGAUACGGCCUGGCUUGAGGCCGAGAGAGGGUGGUGGAAUUCCCAGUGUAGAGGUGAAAUUCGUAGAUAUUGGGAAGAACACCGGUGGCGAAGGCGACCACCUGGCUCGGUUCUGACGCUGAGGCGC
rnacentral:rRNA from 1 species